rfam:Trichobilharzia regenti genome assembly, scaffold: TRE_scaffold0043175
GUACUGAUGAAGGGUCUCAAAGUAGGACGAAACAGCUGUCCAGUAC